GAUGAACGCUGGCGGCGUGCCUAAUACAUGCAAGUCGAGCAAACGGACGAGAAGCUUGCUUCUCUGAUGUUAGCGGCGGACGGGUGGGUAACACGUGGAUAACCUACCUAUAAGACUGGGAUAACUUCGGGAAACCGUAGCUAAUACCGGAUAAUAUUUUGAACCGCAUGGUUCAAAAGUGAAAGACGGUCUUGCUGUCACUUAUAGAUGGAUCCGCGCUGCAUUAGCUAGUUGGUAAGGUAACGGCUUACCAAGGCAACGAUGCAUAGCCGACCUGAGAGGGUGAUCGGCCACACUGGAACUGAGACACGGUCCAGACUCCUACGGGAGGCAGCAGUAGGGAAUCUUCCGCAAUGGGCGAAAGCCUGACGGAGCAACGCCGCGUGAGUGAUGAAGGUCUUCGGAUCGUAAAACUCUGUUAUUAGGGAAGAACAUAUGUGUAAGUAACUGUUCACAUCUUGACGGUACCUAAUCAGAAAGCCACGGCUAACUACGUG
rnacentral:rRNA from 1 species